rnacentral:rRNA from 1 species
UACAGAGGUGGCAAGCGUUGUUCGGAAUUACUGGGCGUAAAGGGCGCGUAGGCGGUCAGGUCAGUCCCGUGUGAAAUCCCUCGGCUCAACUGAGGAACUGCACGGGAAACUGCCUGGCUUGAGUUCGGGAGAGGGAAGCGGAAUUCCGGGUGUAGCGGUGAAAUGCGUAGAUAUCCGGAAGAACACCGGUGGCGAAGGCGGCCUGCUGGGCAGUUUAGCUGACACUGAGGCGCGACAGCGUGGGGAGCAAACAGG